CACGUAACGUAGGAGGUUGAUGAGGCGCGGAACGAUACAGAGAAGAGUAGCAUGGCCCCUACACAAGGAUGGCACCCAAAUUCGUCAAGCAUUCCAUAUUUUA